GACAGAGGUGCCGAGCGUUAGGCGGAAUCACUGGGCUUAAAGCGCGUGUAGGUGGGUCGUUAAGUGUCCGCGUGAAAUCCCACGGCUCAACCGCGGAACUGCUGGGCAUACUGGCGAUCUUGAGGCAUUCAGGGGCGAGCGGAACAAGUGGUGGAGCGGUGAAAUGCGUAGAUAUCACUUGGAACGCCAAUGGUGAAAACAGCUCGCUGGGAAUGAUCUGACACUGAGACGCGAAAGCCGGGGGAGCGAACGGG
rnacentral:rRNA from 1 species